CACUAGGAAGCUAAGCCAGGGUAACAGCAUUGGCCUUUUAAGCCAAAGAUUGGUGCCUCCCAACCACCUCUAGUGA
rnacentral:tRNA from 1 species